GACCAAGGAGUGUAGCAUGUGCGCGAGUCAUUGGGACUUGAUAAACCUAAAGGCGAAAUGAAAGUGAAGACAGGCCUUGCGCCUGUCGAGGGAGGAUGGGUCGAGCUCCGGCCGCUACCCCGCACUCCCGGGGCGUCUCAUUCUCAUCACGAGAGGAGGCGACACCCAGAGCGUACACGCUGGGAUAUGCCUGGUCGGGACGAACUCAGGGGAAACCCUGAUGGAUGUCCGUAGCGAUUCUGACGUGCAAAUCGAUCGUCAGAACUGGGUAUAGGGGCGAAAGACUAAUCGAACCAUCUA
rnacentral:rRNA from 1 species